rnacentral:rRNA from 1 species
UACGAAGGGGGCUAGCGUUGCUCGGAAUCACUGGCGUAAAGCGCACGUAGGCGGAUUGCUAAGUCAGGGGUGAAAUCCUGGAGCUCAACUCCAGAACUGCCUUUGAUACUGGCGAUCUUGAGUCCGGGAGAGGUGAGUGGAACUGCGAGUGUAGAGGUGAAAUUCGUAGAUAUUCGCAAGAACACCAGUGGCGAAGGCGGCUCACUGGCCCGGUACUGACGCUGAGGUGCGAAAGCGUGGGAGCAAC